UGCAGUCGACGCACAGCGAUGGUGCUUGCACCUCUUCAAGUGAGUGGCGAACGGGUGAGUAACACGUGGACAACCUGCCUCAAGGCUGGGGAUAACAUUUGGAAACAGAUGCUAAUACCGAAUAAAACUUAGUGUCGCAUGACAAAAAGUUAAAAGGCGCUUCGGCGUCACCUAGAGAUGGAUCCGCGGUGCAUUAGUUAGUUGGUGGGGUAAAGGCCUACCAAGACAAUGAUGCAUAGCCGAGUUGAGAGACUGAUCGGCCACAUUGGGACUGAGACACGGCCCAAACUCCUACGGGAGGCUGCAGUAGGGAAUCUUCCACAAUGGGCGAAAGCCUGAUGGAGCAACGCCGCGUGUGUGAUGAAGGCUUUCGGGUCGUAAAGCACUGUUGUAUGGGAAGAACAGCUAGAAUAGGAAAUGAUUUUAGUUUGACGGUACCAUACCAGAAAGGGACGGCUAAAUACGUGCCAGCAGCCGCGGUAAUACGUAUGUCCCGAGCGUUAUCCGGAUUUAUUGGGCGUAAAGCGAGCGCAGACGGUUUAUUAAGUCUGAUGUGAAAGCCCGGAGCUCAACUCCGGAAUGGCAUUGGAAACUGGUUAACUUGAGUGCAGUAGAGGUAAGUGGAACUCCAUGUGUAGCGGUGGAAUGCGUAGAUAUAUGGAAGAACACCAGUGGCGAAAGGCGGCUUACUGGACUGCAACUGACGUUGAGGCUCGAAAGUGUGGGUAGCAAACAGGAUUAGAUACCCUGGUAGUCCACACCGUAACGAUGACACUAGUGUUAGGAGGUUUCCGCUCUUAGUGCUGAGCUACGCAUAGUGUCGCUUGGGGGAGUACGACGCAAGGUUGAACUCAAA
rnacentral:rRNA from 1 species